rnacentral:rRNA from 1 species
UAGUCCCGCACGAGCGCAACCCUGUCCUUAGUUGCUACGCAAGAGCACUCUAAGGAGACUGCCGGUGGCAAACCGGAGGAAGGUGGGGAUGACGUCAAGUCCUCAUGGCCCUUAUGGGUAGGGCGUUCACACGUCAUACAAUGGUCGGAACAGAGGGUUGCCAACCCGCGAGGGGGAGCUAAUCCCAGAAAACCGAUCGUAGUCCGGAUUGCACUCUGCAACUCGAGUGCAUGAAGCUGGAAUCGCUAGUAAUCGCGGAUCAGCAUGCCGCGGUGAAUACGUUCCCGGGUCUU